rnacentral:rRNA from 1 species
UACGGGGGGAGCAAGCGUUGUUCGGAUUUACUGGGCGUAAAGGGCGCGUAGGCGGCCACCGCAAGUCGACUGUGAAAUCUCCGGGCUUAACCCGGAAAGGUCAGCCGAUACUGCGGGGCUAGAGUGCAGAAGGGGCAAUCGGAAUUCUCGGUGUAGCGGUGAAAUGCGUAGAUAUCGAGAGGAACACCAGAGGUGAAGACGGGUUGCUGGGCUGACACUGACGCUGAGGCGCGAAAGCCAGGGGAGCAAACGGG